rnacentral:rRNA from 1 species
AGCAUGUCGCGGUGAAUACGUUCCCGGGCCUUGUACACACCGCCCGUCACACCAUGAGAGUUGGCAAUACCCAACGUACGUGAUCUAACCCGCAAGGGAGGAAGCGUCCUAAGGUAGGGUCAGCGAUUGGGUGAAGUCGUAACAAGGUAUC